GCCUGUGUAGCUCAGUGGUUGAGCGUCUGCCUUUGGCUCAGGUCACGAUCUUGGGGUCCUGGGAUCGAGUCCCACUUCAGGUU
rnacentral:tRNA from 1 species